UCGUCUUUUGUACACUUUUCAUAAAAGAUAAUGCCUGCCCAGUGAAACUAUUUAAACGGCCGCGUUAGCGUGAGCGUGCUAAGGUAGCGUAAUAAUUAGCCUCUUAAUUGGAGGCCAGUGAAAGGCAACACGAGGAACACCUAUACUUUAUAUGCCAAAAAAACUUUUCUUCUAAGUGAAAAGCCUUAGAUACUAAAAGAAGACGAAAAGACCCCGCGGAACUUUACCUUUUCUCUACACUUGUUAUACCUCACACAAACAUAUGUAUCAAGGUUUGAUUGGGGCAAUCUCGGAACCAUCCAAACUUCCGAUUUUUUAUUUUAACUGAUCAAAAAUUUGUUUCGGACCAAAAAGAAGUUACCCCGGGGAUAACAGCGUUAUCCAACUUAAGAGUACACAUCGAAAGUUGGGUUUGCGACCUCGAUGUUGGCUUAAGGACAUCCACAUAAGUGCAGCCGCUAUGAAUGGAUAGUCUGUUCGACUAUUAUAACCUUA
rnacentral:rRNA from 1 species